UACGGAGGGUGCGAGCGUUGUUCGGAAUCACUGGGCGUAAAGGGCGUGUAGGCGGUCCGCUAAGUCUGAUGUGAAAGCCCGGGGCUCACCCCCGGAAGGGCAUUGGAAACUGACGGACUCGAGUCCCGAAGAGGAGGGUGGAAUUCCUGGUGUAGCGGUGAAAUGCGCAGAUAUCAGGAAGAACACCCGUGGCUAAGGCGGCUCUCUAGUACGGUACUGACGCUGAGACGCGAAAGCGUGGGGAGCAAACAGG
rnacentral:rRNA from 1 species